GAUGAACGCUAGCUACAGGCUUAACACAUGCAAGUCGAGGGGCAGCGCAGUGUAGCAAUACAUGGGCGGCGACCGGCGCACGGGUGCGUAACGCGUAUCCAACCUUCCCGUUACUCAGGGAUAGCCUUCCGAAAGGGAGAUUAAUACCUGAUGGUGUUGACAUUCCGCAUGUUAUUUCAACUAAAGAUUUAUCGGUAACGGAUGGGGAUGCGUGACAUUAGAUAGUAGGCGGGGUAACGGCCCACCUAGUCUACGAUGUCUAGGGGUUCUGAGAGGAAGGUCCCCCACACUGGAACUGAGACACGGUCCAGACUCCUACGGGAGGCAGCAGUGAGGAAUAUUGGUCAAUGGUCGGAAGACUGAACCAGCCAAGUAGCGUGAAGGAUGAAGGUUCUAUGGAUUGUAAACUUCUUUUAUACGGGAAUAAAACCUCCCACGUGUGGGAGCUUGUAUGUACCGUAUGAAUAAGCAUCGGCUAACUCCGUGCCAGCAGCCGCCGUAAAAC
rnacentral:rRNA from 1 species